rnacentral:rRNA from 1 species
GAACGCUGGCGGCGUGCCUAAUACAUGCAAGUCGAGCGAACAGAUAAGGA